ensembl:lncRNA
GAAUGCAUCUGUGCUGAGUCAUCCUGACUAGAAUCAAUCAGGUGAGGGUGGGCUAGGAGUGAGCUCUAGGCCAAGGGAGUCAGAGACCCUUCUAUGGUUAUUUUCCUAGUUAUUCAAAGACCAACGUAGGUGCUGUUGUGAAGGGACUUUGCUGGUAUAAUUAAAGUCCCUGAUGAGUUAACUUCAUGCUGGUCAAAGGGGAGAUUACCCUGGGCAGGCCUGACUUUAGCAGUUGCAAGGCCUUUAAGGAAAGAGGGGUUAGUCUUUCUCCUGGGAGCUUAGAGAUUGACAACAGCUGCUGUGUCUGCAAUCUCUCCUUUCCCUUGGGUCCUUCUUUCUGGCAACCACCAGGGGUGGGUGCCCAGCUUCAGCUCUAGGGGUUCCAGCCUGCCCACUCCCUUCCUGACCACUUCCCUGGGGACUUCACACUUACUUAGCCAGCUCCCACAACAGGGUUACACUUGACUUGUGCAUAUAAAGCAUGUGGAAACAAGAACUGAAAUCUAAUAACUCCAAGAGCAAGAAUGAAAUGUGACGAUGUUUUCAGGAUUGAAAAUGGGGAAGGAAAUCAAUUGCUUGUUCUGCGGAGUUAAGAGAAUAAAUUGGGUAACCAAGACUUUCAUUUAGUCAGGAAGACCCAUUCUUUUGUUAAGCAAAGAAAUGGCUUUGUUUAUCAAUUACCUAUGAAGGAUCAAAGAGUGAGAUCAGGAAGAGAUGAACGCAUUUAGGGGCCUGGCUCCCAGGCUGCACAAGAAAGUGUCGGGUAGUUCCAAGCAAGCUGUUUAACCUUUCAACGACUCAAAUUAGCCAUCCUUUGAAAUGGCAAGCUUAUUAUCGUCAUCAAAUGCAUUUACUGAGUGUCCAACUUUGCACGGUGCUGGGGCAUGAAAAAGAAAGAAAAAAGAUGGUGACUGUGAACUGUGGUGUUGGAGAAGACUCUUGAGAGUCCCUUGGACUGCAAGGAGAUCCAACCAGUCCAUUCUGAAGGAGAUCAGCCCUGGGAUUUCUUUGGAAGGAAUGAUGCUAAAGCUGAAACUCCAGUACUUUGGCCACCUCAUGCGAAGAGUUGACUCAUUGGAAAAGACUCUGAUGCUGGAAGGGAUUGGGGGCAGGAGGAGAAGGGGACAACAGAGGAUGAGAUGGCUGGAUGGCAUCACUGACUCGAUGGACGAGGCUGCAGUGUGAUGCAGUGGGGAUCCAUGAUCUGAUCCACUCAGGGCUCUCCCUGUGGCUAUGAGGAAGCCACUUCUCUGAACCACAGUGUCCUGAGCUCUCAAGAAGGAGGAAAAGGCUUGAAUGCCAGUUGCUCUGCAUCACGGCUGUCGAACAGCUGUCAUCAGCGGACAUUCCGAAGGCAUACAUCUAUUUCUCCCGCCCUUACUUUGAGUUCCACUUUGCACUAUUCUGCUGUUAAUUAUUCCCCUCUAUUCUCUUGUCUAAUUUUGUGUGUCAUUAAAAUAGUUCCAGCUACAUUUUCCUCUUGCUGUUUCUUCGGCUGUAACACCUGUAAUGUGGGGAGACCUGAGUUGAGCCCGUUCGGUCCAAGGAGAACUCAGGUCUCUCACCUCCUGCUCCACUUCACCUGCUCUGUCUAGGGCAGGUGGCGUGUCCCCUCAUACCAGCAGCCCUGCGGUGACACUCUCCCCAUCUGUCUGCUUAUCACCUGACAGCCUGGCCGCCUCAUCGCUCUCCUGUCUGUACAGUUCUAUCGAUCAGACACUCGGUAACCUUGACAGUGUCACUUGAUGUCUUUGCCAUCGAGAGAGCAUCCUCUGGCUCCUGC